rnacentral:misc_RNA from 1 species
AGUCAAAGAAGUCCUUUCUGAAACUCCCAAACUCAAACCAUCAUCAUCACCACCACCGCUAAAACUACCCCAACUUCUAAAGCCGAUCAAGAAUCCACUACAGGAACUCCAACAUCAAGAAACUAAAAAGAAGAAAAUCCACGUUGAGCCACCAUUUCUUGAUGAGAAGAUCGAACCAAAUAGGCACAAGAAUGAACUCAUUUUCCAAGAAGAAGAGAUCGCUGAACAACAAUCGUCAGAAGUCUGCAGUUUGAGUUUCAGCGAGACUGUGUCAACUACGACCUUCAACAAUGACAAAAGGGAUGACGACGACGAUGAUGAUGGCGAGGAAGUGAAGCAAAGAGUAAAGAAAUCUCCAGUAGCGAAACUGGCUCCAAGAAACAGGGCAGUCGUGGGCGAUUUUGGCCCCAAGCGAGACAGGGUUGUGGGGAAGUCACCCAACAGUAGAACGGAUCAGUCACCGGAAAAAAGAAACAAUGCGGGUCGUGGAGGUUCAGUGAGGUUGGUUCAAAACAAGGAAUCGGGUACUUAUCAGGCGGGAAGGCGAGGGUUGAAGCCCGACACGAAUGGGAGAGACCCAGGGGAGCGCUCCGGAAGGAGGUCCAGGUCGCCUGCCACAAAUAGAUCUACAAUGGGUCGUAGCCCGUCAUCAAGGAGGGUGAACGGGUCUCCGGGUCGGGCAAAAACGGAAAUUCCCCGGAGCGGUGGCGGUGGCGGUGGCACGGAGGGCAAGUGGCAAAGCACAUCAAAUACUAAUGGUACAACAGCAAAUGAAUCGCUUGAAAACCCGCUUGUUUCCCUUGAAUGUUUCAUCUUUCUAUAAAGAGUGACAACAUUCUCGUCGGAAUGACUGUUCUCCGGUGGGUUCAUUGGUGCAUUUAUUUUUGAGGGGUGGUUUAAUUUGCUUUCCUUGUGUAUAUUGAUCAAAGGUCAAUUUGGGAAUGAGGACUGCAGGAUAUGUUAUUGUGUUGUCAUGGAUACUGGAUAUGCAAUUCCAUUAAUUGACCUGUCGUUUUACUUCACUUGCCCCAUUGUUCUCAUCUCAUGCUGUGUUGGUGGGAAGGCAAGCCUGCCUUGCCUACCUAAUCCACUGUAUAUUUUUUCUUAUUAAGGUGCCUGUGAUAUAAUCUCCAGAACAA